GCUUAACACAUGCAAGUCGAACGAUGAUCCCCAGCUUGCUGGGGGGAUUAGUGGCGAACGGGUGAGUAACACGUGAGUAACCUGCCCUUGACUCUGGGAUAAGCCUGGGAAACUGGGUCUAAUACCGGAUACGACCAUCUGGCGCAUGUCAUGGUGGUGGAAAGCUUUUGUGGUUUUGGAUGGACUCGCGGCCUAUCAGCUUGUUGGUGGGGUAAUGGCCUACCAAGGCGACGACGGGUAGCCGGCCUGAGAGGGUGACCGGCCACACUGGGACUGAGACACGGCCCAGACUCCUACGGGAGGCAGCAGUGGGGAAUAUUGCACAAUGGGCGCAAGCCUGAUGCAGCGACGCCGCGUGAGGGAUGACGGCCUUCGGGUUGUAAACCUCUUUCAGUAGGGAAGAAGCGAAAGUGACGGUACCUGCAGAAGAAGCGCCGGCUAACUACGUGCCAGCAGCCGCGGUAAUACGUAGGGCGCAAGCGUUAUCCGGAAUUAUUGGGCGUAAAGAGCUCGUAGGCGGUUUGUCGCGUCUGCUGUGAAAGACCGGGGCUCAACUCCGGUUCUGCAGUGGGUACGGGCAGACUAGAGUGCAGUAGGGGAGACUGGAAUUCCUGGUGUAGCGGUGAAAUGCGCAGAUAUCAGGAGGAACACCGAUGGCGAAGGCAGGUCUCUGGGCUGUAACUGACGCUGAGGAGCGAAAGCAUGGGGAGCGAACAGGAUUAGAUACCCUGGUAGUCCAUGCCGUAAACGUUGGGCACUAGGUGUGGGGGACAUUCCACGUUUUCCGCGCCGUAGCUAACGCAUUAAGUGCCCCGCCUGGGGAGUACGGCC
rnacentral:rRNA from 1 species